AACGCAUAUUGCGCCCUUUGGUAUUCCGAAGGGCAUGCCUGUUCGAGCGUCAUUAUCACAGUAUCAAGCUUGGCUUGUCGUUGGGCCCUUUGUCACCUGGUGACAGGUCCAAAAGAUAAUGAUCGGUGUCGUACAGACCCUAUGUGCAACGAGCUUAUACAGCACGCAUCUAGCGGUCAUAUGGCCCGGUUCUUGCGCCUUUAUUUCUCAAGGUUGACCUCGGAUCAGGUAGGAAUACCCGCUGAACUUAA
rnacentral:misc_RNA from 1 species